rnacentral:lncRNA from 7 species
GCGAUGCGAUGCGAUGCGAUGAGAUGCGAUGCUCCGCGCCGCUCCACUCCCCGCCCUCCGCCUCCCGCCGAGCCGUUCUCCUCUCACUGCGGGCGGCACCGGUACAUUUCCAUCCCGCCCCCUGAGGAGAGAGACAAGCCAGAGUCUUGGUGUGGCUUGGGAAACCAGAGAGUGGAAAGAGAACAAAGAGAAAAUAGAAAGGACUGCUGUUCCUUGACUGUCCAACCUAAAUACAAAGAACCCGCAAGGAGCCAGAUGUAUGAAGACAGAGAUGAAGCAGAGCCAGUUAUGUUGUAACUGACAUGCCAUGGAGGACUGAAAAAUGCCUGCCCUCACUAUUACACAGCUCCUAAUGAAGAAAACGACACUGUUCAUUUUGAACAAACUUCUGAAGAAACCAAGCCAGCAAAACCACACAGCCCACUCUGAACCACGGAUACGUGCAGCAGACAAGGCCCACUGCUCAGCUCAAACUGAAUGCAAUUCCACAGUGAAAUGAGCAAGAAGGAAGGGAAACCCAUUUCUUCCUUGUUCAAAGCAACACUAGAAAUAGAACAUAAAAACUUCUUUU